rnacentral:rRNA from 1 species
CUACGGGUUGCUGCAGUGGGGAAUAUUGGACAAUGGGGGAAACCCUGAUCCAGCAAUGCCGCGUGUGUGAAGAAGGCCUGCGGGUUGUAAAGCACUUUCGGUUGGGAGGACUGCUUCUAGCACUAAUAUUGUUGGAAGUUGACGUUACCUUCAGAAGAAGCACCGGAUAACUCCAUGCCAGCAUCCGCGGUAAUACGGAGGGUGCAAGCGUUAAUCGGAAUUACUGGGCGUAAAGCGCGCGUAGGCGGCUAGAUCAGUCGGGUGUGAAAGCCCCGGGCUUAACCUGGGAACUGCAUCCGAUACUGUCUAGCUUGAGUACAGGAGAGGAGAGUGGAAUUCCACAUGUAGCGGUGAAAUGCGUAGAUAUGUGGAGGAACACCAAUGGCGAAGGCAGCUCUCUGGCCUGAUACUGACGCUGAGGUGCGAAAGCGUGGGGAGCAAACAGGAUUAGAUACCCCUGUAGUC